GACGAACGCUGGCGGCGUGCUUAACACGUGCAAGUCGAACGAAGAGCGAUGGACGCUUGCUUCUAUCACUCUUAGUGGCGAACGGGUGAGUAACGCGUAAUCAACCUGCCCUUCAGAGGGGGACAACAGUUGGAAACGACUGCUAAUACCGCAUACGAUCUAACCUCGGCAUCGAGGAUGGAUGAAAGGUGGCCUCUAUUUAUAAGCUAUCACUGAAGGAGGGGAUUGCGUCUGAUUAGCUAGUUGGAGGGGUAACGGCCCACCAAGGCGAUGAUCAGUAGCCGGUCUGAGAGGAUGAACGGCCACAUUGGGACUGAGACACGGCCCAGACUCCUACGGGAGGCAGCAGUGGGGAAUCUUCCGCAAUGGACGAAAGUCUGACGGAGCAACGCCGCGUGAGUGAUGACGGCCUUCGGGUUGUAAAGCUCUGUUAAUCGGGACGAAAGGCCUUCUUGCGAAUAGUUAGAAGGAUUGACGGUACCGGAAUAGAAAGCCACGGCUAACUACGUG
rnacentral:rRNA from 1 species